CAGGAAUCACCUCCAGACUUAAGCUCCAAAUUCUCAGUAUUUUUUCGUAUUAUUAAAAAAAAAUUAAAAUUUUCCGGCUAGUUUUAAGAAUAAAGUGAAUUUUAACUUAAGCACAUAACCAUUAUAGAAUAACGACAAAGUUGGCGUUUAUUGACCUAGACAACGACACAGUCAGCGCUUGGUGGCCUGGACAUAUUUUACUCAACACAGUUAAUUACAUCGGGGCUUUGCUUUUUAGGAUUAAGGAACCAGAACCGGAAGAAUCAACACAAAACAUGAUAAGACUGUAUAAUGUUGAUCCACAAUUCCUGGCUUGUUUUCUUUGAUGGCACACCACUGGCAAAGUUUCUUAAAAAGUUUAAUGAAUACAUAUCAAUCCUUGACUGGGAAUAUCUCACUGGAAUAAUAAAAUACCAAUGCUCGAAAAUAAUAAAUGUACACUUAUACACUUAUACA